rnacentral:rRNA from 2 species
GCCAGUCUGCAUGGAGCCGACCUUGAAAUACCACCCUUUAAUGUUUGAUGUUCUAACGUGGACCCGUAAUCCGGGUUGCGGACAGUGUCUGGUGGGUAGUUUGACUGGGGCGGUCUCCUCCUAAAGAGUAACGGAGGAGCACGAAGGUUGGCUAAUCCUGGUCGGACAUCAGGAGGUUAGUGCAAUGGCAUAAGCCAGCUUGACUGCGAGCGUGACGGCGCGAGCAGGUGCGAAAGCAGGUCAUAGUGAUCCGGUGGUUCUGAAUGGAAGGGCCAUCGCUCAACGGAUAAAAGGUACUCCGGGGAUAACAGGCUGAUACCGCCCAAGAGUUCAUAUCGACGGCGGUGUUUGGCACCUCGAUGUCGGCUCAUCACAUCCUGGGGCUGAAGUAGGUCCCAAGGGUAUGGCUGUUCGCCAUUUAAAGUGGUACGCGAGCUGGGUUUAGAACGUCGUGAGACAGUUCGGUCCCUAUCUGCCGUGGGCGCUGGAGAACUGAGGGGGGCUGCUCCUAGUACGAGAGGACCGGAGUGGACGCAUCACUGGUGUUCGGGUUGUCAUGCCAAUGGCACUGCCCGGUAGCUAAAUGCGGAAGAGAUAAGUGCUGAAAGCAUCUAAGCACGAAACUUGCCCCGA